rnacentral:tRNA from 1 species
GCCCCCGUAGCUCAGCGGAGAGAGCGCUUGACUACGAAUCAAGAGGCCGGACGUUCGAAUCGUUCCGGGGGCACGA